GGAAGCGUGGCUGAGAGGUCUAAAGCACCGGUUUCGAAAACCGGCAGGGCGCAAGCCCUCGUGAGUUCGAAUCUCACCGCUUCCG
rnacentral:tRNA from 1 species